CGAUGCAGCAGCUCCAGACUGGUGCAGAGACAUUCCACGGCAGAGCCUCCAGCAGCGGGGGAGCAGCAGCCGGGACCUCGGAAACCCUGCAGGCCUGUCUUGGGACGACGCCCUUUACGGCAACCAGCGGGAUAUGCUAUCAGGCAGCAGGGGCCAUGCAGCAGCUCCAAACUGGUGCGGAAACAUUCCUCGGCGGAGCCUC